UACGGAAGGCAGCAGUGGGGAAUAUUGCACAAUGGGCGCAAGCCUGAUGCAGCCAUGCCGCGUGUAUGAAAAAGGCCUUCGGGUUGUAAAGUACUUUCAGUCGUGAGGAAGGUGUUAAGGUUAAUAACCUUAGCAAUUGACGUUAGCGACAGAAGAAGCACCGGCUAACUCCGUGCCAGCAGCCGCGGUAAUACGGAGGGUGCGAGCGUUAAUCGGAAUUACUGGGCGUAAAGGGCACGCAGGCGGUUAAUUAAGUUGGAUGUGAAAUCCCCGGGCUUAACCUGGGAAUGGCAUUCAAGACUGGUUAGCUAGAGUCUUGUAGAGGGGGUAGAAUUCCAUGUGUAGCGGUGAAAUGCGUAGAGAUGUGGAGGAAUACCGGUGGCGAAGGCGGUCCCUGGACAAAGACUGACGCUCAUGUGCGAAAGCGUGGGGAGCAAACAGGGAUUAGAUACC
rnacentral:rRNA from 1 species